UACGAAGGGGGCUAGCGUUGCUCGGAAUCACUGGGCGUAAAGGGUGCGUAGGCGGGUCUUUAAGUCAGGGGUGAAAUCCUGGAGCUCAACUCCAGAACUGCCUUUGAUACUGAAGAUCUUGAGUUCGGGAGAGGUGAGUGGAACUGCGAGUGUAGAGGUGAAAUUCGUAGAUAUUCGCAAGAACACCAGUGGCGAAGGCGGCUCACUGGCCCGGUACUGACGCUGAGGAGCGAAAGCGUGGGGAGCAAACAGG
rnacentral:rRNA from 1 species